rnacentral:tRNA from 1 species
GGUGGCUCAGUGGUAGAGUGCUUGCCUUGCAUGCAUGAAGCCCUGGGUUCGAUUCCUCAGCACCU